GACGAACGCUGGCGGCGUGCCUAAUACAUGCAAGUCGAGCGAAUUUUUGGGAGCUUGCUCCCGAAACGUUAGCGGCGGACGGGUGAGUAACACGUGGGCAACCUGCCUAUAAGACUGGGAUAGCUUCGGGAAACCGGAGCUAAUACCGGAUAAUUCUUUUCUUACACAUGUAGGAAAGACUGAAAGAACGGUUUACGUCUGUCACUUAUAGAUGGGCCCGCGGCGCAUUAGCUAGNGGUUGAGGUAACGGCUCACCAAGGCCACCGAUGCGUAGCCGACCUGAGAGGGUGGAUCGGCC
rnacentral:rRNA from 1 species